CCCGCUGAACUUAAGCAUAUCAGUAAGCGGAGGAAAAGAAACUAACUAGGAUUCCCUUAGUAAUGGCGAAUGAACAGGGAUGAGCCCACUGCCCAAUUGUUUGUCUUCGGCAAACAACAUGUGGCUUUGGUAGUGUACCAGUGAUGGCUUCGGCAUAAGUCUCUUGGAAAAGAGUAUCAGAGAGGGUGACAAUCCCGUUCCUGGCUGAAUGUCUAUCACGUACGGUCACUGCUAUAGUGAGUCGCGUUCCUUGGGACUGGAGCGUAAACGGGUGGUAAAUUCCAUCCAAGGCUAAAUAUAGACACGAGACCGAUAGCAAACAAGUACCAUGAGGGAAAGGUGAAAAGAACUUUGAAAAGAGGGUUAAAAGUGCCUGAAAUCGUUAAGGUGGAAGCGAAUGCCUCGGUUGUAUAUGCGUUGUUAUGGAUUGGGUCUAGCGUGCCGAUUACUAUUACACGUUCUGGUUCUGCCGGCGUUUGGUAGUCUUGAGGUAUGUUUGGCUUGCUUCCAUAGUGACGUUAACAGCGUCGGCUUUAGGGUAAAGACAAAAGUUGGGAGUUAUUCUGUCACUUACGGGUUUCGGGAUAUUCUUGACCAAUCUUACCUUGGGGCUGAGGAAUCUUUGGCGUGGUAACACUAAGGUUUAAUCUGCUAAGUAGAGUGUACGUCGCUUCGGCGAAUGCAAUCUAUAAGGUUGAUGUUGCUUUAGCACUCACCCAAAGGAUGCUGUUACCAACGGUGGUAUUUGUCCCGUCUUGAAACACGG
rnacentral:rRNA from 1 species